rnacentral:rRNA from 1 species
AGUGAACGCUGGCGGUAGGCCUAACACAUACAAGUCGAACGACAGCACAGGAGAGCUUGCUCUCUGGGUGGCGAGUGGCGGACGGGUGCGGAAUACAUCGGACUCUACUUUUUCGUGGGGGAUAACGUAGGGAAACUUACGCUAAUACCGCAUACGACCUCCGGGUGAAAGCAGCGGAUAUUCGGACCUUGCGCGAUUGAAUGAGCCGAGGUCGGAUUAGCUAGUUGGCGGGGUAAAGGCCCACCAAGGCGACGAUCCGUAGCUGGUCUGAGAGGAUGAUCAGCCACACUGGAACUGAGACACGGUCCAGAGUCCUACGGGAGGCAGCAGUGGGGAAUAUUGGACAAUGGGCGCAAGCCUGAUCUAGCCAUACCGCGUGGGUGAAGAAGGCCUUCGGGUUGUAAAGCCCUUUUGUUGGGAAAGAAAUCCAGCUGGUUAAUACCCGGUUGGGAUGACGGUACCCAAAGAAAGCACCGGCUAACUUCGUGCCAGCCGCCGCGGUAA